rnacentral:lncRNA from 1 species
UAGAUUGAGAUAAGUCCCAAUAGGACCAAAAAUCUAAUCUCCAGAUUGAUUAAAGCUUCAAAGGGUCAAGUCUCCUUGAGGAUCAAAAUACCAAUCUCCGGAUCGAGAUAAGUCCCAAUAGAAUCAAAAAUCCGAUCUUUGAAUCGAUUUAAAGCUCUAAUGGGCUAAAUUGCCUUGAGGACCAAAAUACUGAUCUUCGAAUUGAAAACAAUCCUAAUAGGACCAAAAAUCCAAUCUCCAGAUCAAUUUAAAGCUCCAAUGGGCCAAGUCUCCUUGCGGA